rnacentral:rRNA from 1 species
GACGAACGCUGGCGGCGUGCUUAACACAUGCAAGUCGAACGCUGAAGACCUGGCUUUUGUUGGGUUGGAUGAGUGGCGAACGGGUGAGUAACACGUGAGUAACCUGCCCUCUUCUUUGGGAUAACGCCCGGAAACGGGUGCUAAUACUGGAUAUUCACUGAUCUUCGCAUGGGGGUUGGUGGAAAGGUUUGUUCUGGUGGGGGAUGGGCUCGCGGCCUAUCAGCUUGUUGGUGGGGGGAUGGCCUACCAAGGCUUUGACGGGUAGCCGGCCUGAGAGGUUGACCGGUCACAUUGGGACUGAGAUACGGGCCAGACUCCUACGGGAGGCAGCAGUGGGGAAUAUUGCACAAUGGGCGAAAGCCUGAUGCAGCGACGCCGCGUGAGGGAUGGAGGCCUUCGGGUUGUAAACCUCUUUCGCUCAUGGUCAAGCCGCAACUGUGGGUUGUGGUGAGGGUAGUGGGUAAAGAAGCGCCGGCUAACUACGUG